UAGAGUUUGAUCAUGGCUCAGAACGAACGCUGGCGGCGGGGCUUAGGCAUGCAAGUCGAGCGAGAAAGCCGCAAGGCGAGUACAGCGGCGUAAGGGUGAGUAAUAGGUAGUCAACGUAUCCUGCAGACGCGGAUAAUUUCCCGAAAGGGAUUGUAACACGCGAUGAGACCACGUUUCCUUCGGGGGAAGGGGUCAAAGAUAGGGGAUCCUUCGGGACCUCGUGCUGUGGGAGCGGACGACCUCCGAUUAGCUAGUUGGCGGGGUAACGGCCCACCAAGGCGAUGAUCGGUAGCCGGCCUGAGAGGGUGUUCGGCCACACUGGGACUGAGACACUGCCCAGACUCCUACGGGAGGCUGCAGUCGCGAAUCAUUCACAAUGGGCGCAAGCCUGAUGAUGCCACGCCGCGUGCGGGAUGAAGGCCCUUUGGGUUGUAAACCGCUGUCAAGAGGGGGGAAACGCAUGGUGUUAACAGCGCCAUGUUUGACUGCCCACUAAAGGAAGCCCCGGCAAAACAUGUGCCAGCAGCCGCGGUA
rnacentral:rRNA from 1 species